UUGAGGUCAGGACUCUGACUGGGCCACUCCAGAAGGUCAGGAAUCUGACUGGGCCACUCCAGAAGGUCAGGAAUCUGAUUGGGCCACUCCAGAAGUACAGGACUCUGACUGGACCACUCCAGAAGGUCAGGACUCUGACUGGGCCACUCCAGAAGGUCAGGACUCUGACUGGGCCACUCCAGAAGGUCAGGACUCUGACUGGGCCACUCCAGAAGGUCAGGACUCUGACUGGGCCACUCCAGAAGGAUAUGACUGACUGGGCCACUCCAGAAGGUCAGGACUCUGACUGGGCCACUCCAGAAGGUCAGGACUCUGACUGGGCCACUCCAGAAGGUCAGGACUCUGACUGGACCACUCCAGAAGGUCGGGACUCUGACUGGGCCACUCCAGAAGGUCAGGACUCUGACUGGACCACUCCAGAAGGUCAGGACUCUGACUGGGCCACUCCAGAAGGUCAGGACUGACUGGGCCACUCCAGAAGGUCAGGACUCUGACUGGGCCACUCCAGAAGGUCAGGACUCUGACUGGACCACUCCAGAAGGUCAGGCUUCUGACUGGACCAGUUUAGAAGGUCAGGACUCUGACUGGGCCACUCCAGAAGGUCAGGACUCUGACUGGGCCACUCCAGAAGGUCAGGACUCUUACUGGGCCACUCCAGAAGGUCAGGACUCUGACUGGGCCACUCAGGUUGAGGUCAGGACUCUGACUGGGCCACUCAGGUUGAGGUCAGGACUCUGACUGGGCCACUCAGGUUGAGGUCAGG